GACACAAUCUCGGCUCACUGCAGCCUCCCGGGUUCAAGCAAUUCUCCUGCCUGGGCCUCCGAGUAGCUGGGAUUAUGGGCACCUGCCACCAUGCCCGGGUAAUUUUUUGUAUUUUUAGUAGAGACAGGGUUUCACCAUGUUGGCCAGGCUGGUCUUGAACUGACCUCAGGUGAUCCGCCCACCUCGGCCUCCCAAAGUGCUGGAAUUACAGCCCUGCCCGGCCAAGAGAUCAGUCUCUUCAACUCUCUUCCUUGCUUCCUUACAAACAGAACCUUAUGGUAACCCCUUAAAACAUUUUGUAACAUUGAAACACUUGGCAAGUAAUAUUUUCAUUUAGAUUUAAUUUAGGCUAUUGGUAUUGUUUAUUUCCUAUGUAUAAUUUUGUUGAGUUUUAAGAUACUGGGUAAACUUCCUCACCCCAACCCCAAGUUUAAUUGUCACAUUUAUAGUAGGCAUCUAUUCUGCAGCUUUAUAACUUGAAUGUAUUUGAAUGUUUUGACAGUCCUUAUUAUCACAUUGAUUCUCUUCUGCCUAGAUUCUACUAAAGGUGAACAUUUCCCUUCUGACUGAAGUUUGUAUUACACUCAUUAAUAGCAAUUUUCUUUAGUGUGGAUUCUCUGGUGAAUGUGAACUUCUGAGGCUUGAGAGAAGCCCGUACUGAACUCAUCACAUUUAUGGGGUCUCUCUCCCCUAUGCACUUGCUCAUCAGUGCCAAGUUUUGCACUCUGAGAAAAAUUCUCACCGCUCUUAGAAAUGAUAAUGAUGUGCUUUCUCUCCUGAAUGGAGGGAGGGUACUACAAAGGAGAAGAGAGGAGCACCUGGUGAAGCUCUCACUACGUUCAUCACACAGGCCAGGAAGAGCAAGGGGAGAAAAAGAUUUGUCCAUGGGAACAAGUACUCAUGCUCUAAAGGACAAUUUCAUUUGAACCCACUAAUUUCCUUUUCAUGAAAAAUUUCAAAGAUAAAGCAACAUAAAAUAUGAGGACAAAGAAAAGGGAGACGGUCUUCAAGGAGAAUUUGUGCCUUUAAGUUUUUACUGGUACCUCAGUCCUUCAGCCUGGAGCUACUCAAAGAUGAAUCAUGAAAAAGAAAAAAACUGUAUUUCAAACAGGUUCAGUGGUGUAUGUGUGUGCUACAGCAAAAGCUGGUUGUAGCAAAGUUUCAUUUCAAACUGUAUGAUUUGGGCUGCGCAAGGUGGCUCAUGCCUGUAAUCCCAGCACUUUGGGAGGCCAAGGUGGGCUGAUCACCCUGAGGUCAGGAGAGACCAGCCUGGCCAACAUGUUGAAACCCCAUCUCUACUAAAAAUACAAAAAUUAGCCAGGUGUGGUGGCACGGGCCUGUAAUCUCAGCUACUCAGGAGGUUGAGGCAGGAGAAUCGCUUGAACCCAGGAGGCAGAGGUUGCAGUGAGCCGAGAUCGUACCACUGCACUCCAGCCUGGGUGACAGAGUGAGCCCACCGCUGCACUGUGGGAACCCCUCUCUGGGCUGGCCUAGGCUGGAGCCGGCUUCCUCGGCUUGUGGGGAGGUGUGGACAGAGAGGCGCGGGCGGGAACCGGGGCUGCGUGCCGCGCUGGCAGGCCAGCGCGAGUUCCGGGUGGGCGUGGGCUCUGCGGGCCCCACACUCCAAGCGGCCGGCUGGGCGCCGCUGGCCCCAGGCAGUGCGGGGCUUAGCACCCAGGCCAGCAGCUGCGGAGGUCCCCCAGCAGUGCUGACCCGCCAGCGCUGAGCUCGAAUUCUCGCUGGGCCUCAGCUGCCUCCCCGCGGGGCAGGGCUGGGGACCUGCAGCCCGCCAUGCCCGAGCCUCCCCCCCGCAGUGGGCUCCUGCACGGCCGGAGCAUCCCCGAUGAGCGCCACCGUCUGCUCUGCUGUGCCUGGUCCCAUCCACCACCCAGGGGCUGAGGAGUGCGGGCACAGGGCACGGGACUGGCGGGCGGAUCCACUAGGUGAAGCCAGUUGGGCUCCUGAGUCUAGUGGGGACUUGGAGAACUUUUAUGUCUAGCUGGAGGGCUGUAUACACACCAAUCAGCACCCUGUGUCUAGCUUAAGGUUUGUAAAUGCACCAAACAGUGCUUUGUGUCUAGCUAAUCUAGUGGGGACUUGGAGAACCUUUAUGUCUAGCUAAAGGAUUGCAAAUACACCAAUCAGCACUCUGUGUGUAGCUUAAGGUUUGUAAAUGCACCAAUCAGCACUCUGUAUCUAGCUAAUCUGGUGGGGACUUGGAGAACCUUUAUGUCCAGCUAAGGGAUUGUAAAUACACCACUCAGCACUCUGAGUCUAGCUCAAGGUUUGUAAACACACCAAUCAGCACUCUGAGUCUAGCUCAAGGUAUGUAAACACACCAAUCAGCACCCUGUAUCUAGCUCAAGGUUUGUAAACGCACCAAUCAGUGCCCUGUGUCUAGCUAAUCUGGUGGGGACUUGGAGAACCUUUAUGUCUAGCUAAGGGAUUGUAAAUACACCAGUCAGCACUCUGUGUCUAGCUCAAGGUUUGUAAACACACCAAUCAGCACCCUGUGUCUAGCUUAAGGUUUGUAAAUGCACCAAUCAGUGCUCUGUGUCUAGCUAAUCUGGUGGGGACUUGGAGAACCUUUAUGUCUAGCUAAGGAAUUGUAAAUACACCAAUCAGCACUCUGUGUCUAGCUCAAGGUUUGUAAACACACCAGUCAGCACCCUGUGUCUAGCUCAAGGUUUGUAAACACACCAAUCAGUGCUCUGUGUCUAGCUAAUCUAGUGGGAACUUGGAGAACUUUUGUGUCUAGCUCAGGGAUUGUAAAUGCAUCAAUCAGCUCUCUGUAAAACAGACCAAUCAAAACAGACCCUGUCAAAAUGGACCAAUCAGCUCUCUGUAAAACAGACCAAUCAGCUCUCUAUAAAAUGGACCAAUCAGCAGGAUGUGGGUGGGGCCAGAUAAGGGAAUAAAAGCAGGCUGCCAGAGCCAGCAGUGGCAGCUCACUGGCAUUCCAUUCCACCUUGUGGAUGCUUUGUUCUUUUGCUGUUUGCAAUAAAUCUUGCUGCUGCACACUCUUUGGCUCCACAGUGCCUUUAUGAGCUGUAACACUCACCACGAAGGUCUGCUGCUUCUCUCCUGAGGUUAGCGAGACGCCGACUCCAACAGGAGGAAUGAACAACUCCGGACGCGCUGCCUUAAGAGCUGUCACACUCACUGUGAAGGUCUGCAGCUUCACUCUUGAAGCCUGUGAGACCAUGAACCCAUCAGAAAAAAGAAACUCCGAACGUGUUUGAACAUCAGAAGGAACAAACUCCGGACACACCAUCUUUAACACUCAUCGCGAGGGUCUGCGGCUUCAUUCUUAAAGUCAGUGAGACCAAGAACCCAUCAAUUCCGGACACAGCUGGAGUGCAAUAGCGCGGUCUCAGCUCACUGCAAUCUCCAUCUC
rnacentral:lncRNA from 1 species